AGUUCAAAUCCAAAUUCUAGAGCGAGCACAGCUCCCAGCUCAGUACAAAAAUAUUAUUUUUAUAUAAAAAUAUCUUUCGGCUAGGUUUAAGCAUAAAGUGAUAAUUUUUUAUUCUAGCAUUAAGUAUAACACUUUAUACAUGUUUUCAUUUAGCAGUAAGGAGUCACCACAAAAGAAGACAAGAGAGUAUCUGAGUUACGCGUCAUGGAAGAGAUAAAGUAUCGGAACGAACACGUUAAAACCCAAAAGGAGGGUUCUCUAGAGUAUCUAAGGGCUACACCAUUUAAGAAGACGAAGAAGAAUAUUUAUAAAACAAUAUAAGACAAAUCGAAAUAAGAAGAAACAAAAAAAAAGAAACCAUCUGUCACCUACCACCCAGCCAGACAUUCUCCACACUUACGGAUACAACAUCAAGAAAACAAUAAUAAUAAGAGAAAACCAAAUAAGGCGGAGAUUCACUCAUAUUCAACAUACAGGCAGGACAGUCUUGCCAAUGUCGGGUUCUAAUUCCAGCAAAAGGACGCGGUUGAGAACGCGGUUGAGGACGCGAUUGAGGACGCGGAUGAGGACGCGGAAGAGGAUUCGGACCAGUACGCAAACGCACCAUACAAACAAAUUAAUAAUAUAGCAACUUUAAUUAUAAUAAAA